GUUUAUGACAAUUUAACAAAUAUUAGUCCAUUCUAGUUUUUCACCUUGUAAGUAAAACAAAUAAAAAUACUUAUUUAUAGUUACUUAUUUAUAGUUUUACUUUCUGGAAGCUUCAAAUAGUUGCUUAAAAUCCCACAAUAACACACUGAUGGUUUUAUGCUUAUGAAAUAUAUAUAUAUACAGAUGGUUUUACAAUGGCAAGUAAUGGCAGAGCAAUACAAGCAGACACACACA
rnacentral:misc_RNA from 1 species